AGUGAACGCUGGCGGUAGGCCUAACACAUGCAAGUCGAACGGCAGCACAGUAAGAGCUUGCUCUUACGGGUGGCGAGUGGCGGACGGGUGAGGAAUACAUCGGAAUCUACUUUUUCGUGGGGGAUAACGUAGGGAAACUUACGCUAAUACCGCAUACGACCUACGGGUGAAAGCAGGGGAUCUUCGGACCUUGCGCGAUUGAAUGAGCCGAUGUCGGAUUAGCUAGUUGGCGGGGUAAAGGCCCACCAAGGCGACGAUCCGUAGCUGGUCUGAGAGGAUGAUGAGCCACACUGGAACUGAGACACGGGCCAGACUCCUGCGGGAGGCAGCAUUGGGGAAGAUUGGACAAUGGGCGCAAGCCUGAUCCAGCCAUACCGCGGGGGUGAAGAAGGCCUGCGAGUUGUAAAGCCCUUUUGUUGGGAAAGAAAAGCAGCAGGUUAAUACCCCGCUGUUCUGACGGUACCCAAAGAAUAAGCACCGGCUAACUUCUU
rnacentral:rRNA from 1 species